AUGGAGAGAAGUUGUCCAUGGCUAUGGUCCCUGGGGAACAGAGUGGAUGGAGAGAAGUCAUCGAUGGCUAUGGUCCCUGGAGAACAGAGUGGAUGGAGAGAAGUUGUCGAUGGUUAUGGUCCCUGGGGAACAGAGUGGAAGGAGAGAAGUCGUCCAUGGCUAAGGUCCCUGGGGAACAGAGUGGAAGGAGAGAAGUCGUCCAUGGCUAUGGUCCCUGGGGAACAGAGUGUGAUGGAGAAAAGUCGUUGUUGGCUAUGGUCCCUGGGGAACAGAGUGGAUGGAGAGAAGUCAUCGAUGGCUAUGGUCCCUGGGGAACAGAGUGGAUGGAGAGAAGUCGUCCAUGGCUAUGGUCCCUGGGGAACAGAGUGGAUUGAGAGAAGUCGUCAAUACCCUAUGGUCCCUGGGGAACAGAGUGGAUGGAGAGAAGUCGUCGUUGGCUAUGGUCCCUGGGGAACAGAGUGGAUGGAGAGAAGUCGUCAAUACCCUAUGGUCCCUGGGGAACAGAGUGGAUGGAGAGAAGUCGUCGUUGGCUAUGGUCCCUGGGGAGCAGAGUGGAUGGAGAGAAGUCGUCAAUACCAUAUGGUCCCUGGGGAACAGAGUGGAUGGAGAGAAGUCGUCCAUGGCUAUGGUCCCUGGGGAACAGAGUGGAUGGAGAGAAGUCGUCCAUGGCUAUGGUCCCUGGGGAACAGAGUGGAUGGAGAGAAGUCGUCGUUGGCUAUGGUCCCUGGGGAACAGAGUGGAUGGAGAGAAGUCGUCGAUGGUUAUGGUCCCUGGGGAACAGAGUGGAUGGAAAGAAGUCGUCGUUGGCUAUGGUCCCUGGGGAACAGAGUGGAUGGAGAGAAGUCGUCGUUGGCUAUGGUCCCUGGGGAACAGAGUGGAUGGAGAGAAGUCGUCGAUGGUUAUGGUCCCUGGGGAACAGAGUGGAUGGAGAGAAGUCGUCGUUGGCUAAGGUCCCUGGGGAACAGAGUGGAUGGAGAGAAGUCGUCGUUGGCUAUGGUCCCUGGGGAGCAGAGUGGAUGGAGAGAAGUCGUCCAUGGCUAUGGUCCCUGGAGAACAGAGUGGAUGGAGAGAAGUCGUCGUUGGCUAUGGUCCCUGGGGAACAGAGUGGAUGGAGAGAAGUCGUCCAUGGCUAUGGUCCCUGGGGAACAGAGUGCGAUGGAGAGAAGUCGUCGUUGGCUAUGGUCCCUGGGGAACAGAGUGGAUGGAGAGAAGUCGUCAAUACCAUAUGGUCCCUGGGGAACAGAGUGGAUGGAGAGAAGUCGUCCAUGGCUAUGGUCCCUGGGGAACAGAGUGGAUGGAGAGAAGUCGUCCAUGGCUAUGGUCCCUGGGGAACAGAGUGCGAUGGAGAGAAGUCGUCCAUGGCUAUGGUCCCUGGGGAACAGAGUGGAUGGAGAGAAGUCGUCCAUGGCUAUGGUCCCUGGGGAACAGAGUGGAUGGAGAGAAGUCGUCGUUGGCUAUGGUCCCUGGGGAACAGAGUGGAUGGAGAGAAGUCGUCCAUGGCUAUGGUCCCUGGGGAACAGAGUGGAUGGAGAGAAGUCGUCGUUGGCUAUGGUCCCUGGGGAACAGAGUGCAAUGGAGAGAAGUCGUCGUUGGCUAUGGUCCCUGGGGAACAGAGUGCGAUGGAGAGAAGUCGUCGUUGGCUAUGGUCCCUGGGGAACAGAGUGGAUGGAGAGAAGUCGUCGCUGGCUAUGGUCCCUGGGGAACAGAGUGGAUGGAGAGAAGUCGUCGAUGGCUAUGGUCCCUGGGGAACAGAGUGGAUGGAGAGAAGUCGUCCAUGGCUAUGGUCCCUGA
rnacentral:lncRNA from 1 species